rnacentral:lncRNA from 1 species
ACAGCUCCACGGCUGCAUCUCCGUGGGCACGCAAGCUUCCCCUGGUUACCUGAGCUGCUCCUGCCGUCUCCCGCCUGGGCUUCGCCGUGGUGCACCCGAUCCCGGAAUCGUGCGUCUGCGCCCUGCGAAAGAAGGACCUGCUGGCGGAGCUCCGGCCGGGGUCUCCUGCCUCGCAGCUGGGCGAGGGGACUUGGAGGACAGGGUGAAGCUGCAGAAGACCUGGGGUGGGAUGGCUAGAGAGGACGCCAAGGACUGGGGAAGGGGAAGUUAGGAAUACCUUACAUCCAAUGCCCACCCGUGCUCCGCAGGGCAAGGGCAGCCGUCGCCUCGGCCGCGUGCACCCAGCUCAGGCUGUUCCCAGGGAUUUAGUCUGGGGGGACAACCCAUGGCGAGAUGUGGUGGCAUUUUACCUCAGAGUGGAGCUGAAGAUGGAUAAACAAGGUAUCUGAUGUAUCUGCCUGAGAAGGCAGAGCUGGAGAAAGGCGGAGCGAGGGAGCGCGUGAAAAGAAAGAGAUGCCGAAUGCCGGUUCUGGAGACCAGAAGGCCAAAAUCAAAAGUAUGGGCAGGCUUGAUUUCUUUAGAAGACUCCAGCGGAGAACUGUGUCUCCUUGCUUCUGAUUCUACAUCUCCAUCCAUGGGCCACUGUUUCAGCAACCUCAGCCAGUGCAACACAACCUCAGCCAAGAAGAGUAUGCAGAGAAAGGAGUCCCCUACCUGCCACAAAACUGUUGUCUGAAAACUGUCUCAUAUUGUCUCAAGUUGUCAUUCAUUGUGAAUUAGACCUGUUUAACAUGUAAUCUGCAACAUGCUUCACUGUCUAAUUUUCCAGAGCCCCUCAUAUAAGGAACUGUAUUAUUGGUAUAAUCAUCAUGGUGAAGAAGUUGGUAUGUGGGGGAGAGAUGACAGAAACAGAGAGUAAGUCAGAGCUGGCUGCCUGACAGAUAAAAAGGAAAUGACCAAAAAAAAAAAAAAAGACACAGAAGAA